CUACGGUUAAGACAGAAUGGUGUAAACACUGGCAGAUGUGGGAAAAUAAGAGUCGACAGAAUUUAAGGAACACAACAAGUAAACACACUAAUUACUAUAGAAUAGGAACUAGAUGUUUGUAAGAGUUCUGUAUCAUCAAUGCCCUAUUUAGUAUCCGGCAAAUGUUGAAGACACAAUAUAUGUUUGUUACCUUGAAUAAAAAAAACAGAUAUGAGAAAGUAGUUCCAUUAUUGUCAGCUGAGUUUCUAGAGCAAACCAUAAAGUUCUGGUUGUGUGACAGAUCUUCUAAACAUAAUUUUCAAUUAGUGUUAAACAGAGCUUACAUAUGGGAAGUCUGCUAAACCCCCUGUGUUCACAGUCCUAUUGCCAAAAGUUAUGCAGAAAUAAACUCAAAUUUUUGAUGUGCUGAAUUUUGAUGUAAUUAUGUAUGUGUUAGACACAAUACCAGUAAAUCCUUUUUUUCCUAAGCAGCUGUCAAUCCACUGAUCUAAAUUGUAAUUUCCUUCUAAGGAAAACAUAAAACUGUUAUACUCUAGUUAAAAAAAUUAGACUUGACAAAAAAAAAAGUUGAUGUUUCUUUAGAUCUUAAAAUGCUAAAUCUGAGUUAAUUCAUUUAAGUAAUUAUAAAUAGCAAUCAUUUAAGAUUUUAUAGUAUCUGACACAAUAAGAAAUUACAACAAGAAGCAGUAAUUUUACAACUAGA
rnacentral:lncRNA from 1 species